UAUCCCAAUAAGCUAUUGGAUUAGGGUCGCGAAUUUAUUGGAUUAAUAAAUUCGGCCCGCCGUGUUUAAUUAUAAUUAACAAUUUACUCUAGUAAAUUCAAAUUCAUUAUUUUAGUAAAUUCAAAGGUCGAGCUCAUGCUGUUGACACGUACAAUGCCUGCUACAAAAAUAACUUUUUCAUUCUAUUUUUUUCUUAGCAAGACCACAAUAUAUCAUCGUCUGAGAUGGCCGUGCUAUAUCAAUGCUGACAAUUGAAACUAUAUCCAUAUGGUAAACAUAAUAAGUUAAAACAUGUUUAGUGUCAACACAAAUUUUCAAUUUAUGUAUGAAGUGUUUGGCAGACUUUUGCGAGUUCAGGUAGCCGGUGCUAUUUGACAAGUGGAACGAACUUUGUCGAAUGAGCAACUAUACCCAUGGUCAUGGAAAAUACCGGCCAAAAUAAAAAGACAAAACGUUUUCCACACUCAUGUUUGUGGCAACAUUAACAUAUGAGAGUAUAUAUAAACAUGUCUAUAGCGUUUCAGGAUUCGGUAGGUUUUAAUAACCUUAGCAUAGAAGAAUUUCGGCAAGCUAUAGUAGAUGGAACGUGAUUUGAGGAGCUCAUUCAAAUUCAUUGCAAAUUCACUAUAAAUAUUUAUAACUAUAGAUCAACAUUAGAAAAUUGAUUAAAAAUUACCUAUUUAAUGAUUAACCAUCCUAUUGAUAUAUAGGACCCCUAUUGAUAACCUAGCGUGUAUUUCAUGCUGAAUGGGCUAUCCUGCUUAAAUAAACAAACGAAGAUCUUCGGAUAUUCUUAGCAUGCACGACACAGUUUGAUACUUUGACUUGUUGUCAUCAGAAACGUAAAAAACAUUAGAGAGCAUUUUUUUGCGCCUUGUGCAAACGUCAUAAAAAUCUCGUAGCCGUGGUCAAAUUGACACUCAGUUGUAUUCAUUAGGUUUUGUAGUCGUAGUCGAUCGCAAUUGGGGUUCUUACUUCAUCUACAGUUUCGUUUUUUAUGCAUGCAUUAAAGUACAAGAACAAAUCUACAUAGUGACAAAUAUCAAAGUAGACUUCUUGCCUUGUUUGAUCGCCUGGCAGAUAAAUUCCAAUG